GUCUCUGGGGCACAAUUGGUUAGCGCGUUUGGCUGUUAAGUGAAAGGUUGGUGGUUCAAGUCCACCCAGGGACG
rfam:Lepisosteus oculatus unplaced genomic scaffold TNK114, whole genome shotgun sequence.